GACAGAGGCCUCAAGCGUUUAGGCGGAAUCACUGGGCUUAAAGCGUGUGUAGGCGGAUCGUUAAGUGUCUUGUGAAAUCCCACGGCUCACCCGUGGAACUGCUGGGCAUACUGGCGAUCUUGGGCCAACUAGGGGCAGCCGGAACAAGCGGUGGAGCGGUGAAAUGCGUAGAUAUCGCUUGGAACGCCGAAGGUGAAAACAGGCUGCUGGGGUUGUGCCGACGCUGAGACACGAAAGCCAGGGGAGCAAACGGG
rnacentral:rRNA from 1 species